CACUUUCAGAAAUGAAUGUGACCGCUGUUCAUUUACUGAUUUGUCUAUAAGCCCAUGCACCACGUCAAGGUUCAGUUUUAUCGCAAGGAAAUUAAUGAUGCCAGUUGAAUACAGCAAAUUAGAAGUUGUUCGAAGACAUCAAAAAAUGAGUAGAAUUAAGUUGAUAAUGGCGGCAAAAUUACUCAAAAUUGGGUAAUCGGUGCUUGCGUGUUGUUGUUGUUAUUUUUUUUGCAAUUGAAAACAAACAGCACACCAAGCAAACCGUCUGAAAAAAAGGAGGAAAUAGAAGUAUUUGAAAUUCGUUGUUAUCGGACUCGUUGGUUGAAUAUACGGCGAAUAAAUUUAUAGAUCUCCCAUGUCCCGGCGAACAAAGGCAAAUUUCCAACAUUUUUUUACGUUUUUUUAUUAUUCUGCGGAAUGGUAUUCUGCAAGGUGUUACGCCGAAUAGUUUUCCGCUACCAACUUACUUUUUUCCCUUUAAGGAUUUUGCUGGUCAUCUUGAGCACACAUCUGCAUUUCCCCACAUUGCAUGCGAGGUCGAAGUGCUUAAGAGCGGCAGGUAUUUCGUUAUUUUUCAUGGGAUUGUCAUCUUCGACCACGAGUUCUUCAUAGCUGCCAUCGGUAUUUUUUCAAGAGCUUCGCUGUGUUCGGUGUGACUAUACCAACCGAAAUCCAAAAGUUGUACGAUGUAGCCAUAAAAUUCAUUAAAAAUGGAAAAUAUAAUAUUGCCCCUAGCAUGACUA